UAUCAUUGCAUUUGUUAAGGAUUUCAUUUGCAAGGUAAAAGGUUGAGUUCUCCUCUUCAAGAAGAACAAUAUAUUUUAUUAAAAAAAAGUAUGUUUCACAAAAUGAAAUCAUUUGAGAAAUACUUUAUGCCUGUCAAAAAAGUGAGGCACAAUUCCUUCUGGUCUGGAGUCAGUAAUCGUUGCAUAAUCAUUUCAUAUUCAUCAGCACCUCAUGUGCAGGAGUUAAUCACAGAACAUCUCUUUGCUAUGUGGAGAAGCUUUGCAACCCAACAGUGUUUUUUCAUUUCUCUGCACUUAUUCAUACAGUUUUGUUUUUGUUUGUUUUCUGAUAUCUUCCUCUCAUGCAUGCUAGUCACACAAGAGACUGUCUAAAAAGAGUCAAAGCUGGUAUAACACAACCACAAGCUGUAAGAUGUCAGCUGUAAACACUCUUCAGAUGUCCAUUCCAGUAGGGCGU